ACAAGGACAAAUGCAAAGUGCUCCACUUAGGAAGGAAAAAUCAGUUUCACACAUACAGAAUGGGAAGAGACAGUCUAGGAAGAAACUGGUAGGAAAGUAACAGAAAGCUCAGUAACACCUCCUGGUAAGAAAGGGUGGAGUAGAGCUGGGUGAAUAUUUCAUGUUUGGUUUGCUGGCCGUACCCAACACACAAAUUCACGUCAACUUGAAAUAAAAAAAACAACACCAUUUUCAGUAAACCAAAAAGUAAAAUAAAUAAUUCCUUUUGCAUUGAAUGAAACUUUGUUUGACCUAAAACAAAAUGUUUAAUUUCAGCUUUGAGUUUUUAAAAACAUUAUCUUUUUUUAAAAAUAAAAUGUAAUUAAGUUGUAUAACAAAAAGCUGCUUCAUAUAAAAAAAGUUGCAACAUUUCAUUUUGAACAUAUUGAAACAAAUCACUUUCUUUUUUCUUUACCAACUGAAACAAUUCAACGCCCAUUUGCAAAAUUUUCAAUGGGCCUGAAUCUGCCUUUUUUCAGUGGAAAAAUCUUUCGGUGCAAACAGUUUGCCCAAAUGUAGUCAGGAAGUGAGAUGCAAUUCCACCCUGCUUGCUAAGGCUGGAAAGUAACAGAUCGAAAGGACACUUUUUUUGAAUGGUUGGUGACACUGACAACCCCUGUUUCUUAGGGUUUCCAGAUGUAUUGGUUACACUGUAACCUCCCUGACUUCAGCAGCUGGAGCUACAGUUUCAUCUUGAAGGCAGAAGUAACUGAAAACCUGCAUAUUGGCCUGUUGCAGACUACAAAUGUUACUGAAUUACUUUCACUUUCAAAAUAAUUGUUAUUUCCGUAAGACUUACAAGAAACAGAAAGAGAACAAAGAAAUCACAUGUUUUGGGAAGGCAAUACAAAUACAGCAUAUAUAGACAGACAUGAAACAGAUGCAUUUCCUAUGAAGAUAACAUGCACACCCAGGCACCUUUACGGCCAGGGAAUCUGAUACAAGGAACUAAACCUUUAGAACUAGAUACAAAUGAACCAAACCCUCUAAGUGCAGGACGGUCAGAAAACGCCCCUGCUGAACAGGAUACAGGACCUGGACUCCAGCCACCAGCGGAUUCUGCUGAAGCGGCCAAUGAGGAACGCAAGGUCGGAGCUACAGACCAAGCCACUGGAGAAGCGGAGACAGAGGAGCAGAAAGAGGGGAAAACACCGGAUAGUAGAGGAUCUGGAAGUUUAGAACCAGAAAUAAAUGAAGGAAAUGAAGAAAAUGAAGGAAAACCUGAGAGUCCAGGACUUUUGAAAGGUGUCCUGUCUGGGCAGGAAUCAGGACCUGGAUCCCAGCUUCAGGCAAAAACAGAGGUAGGAGUUAUUUCCAGGUUUAUGUUUUAAGUCAGCUUAAACAGCUGUUUGGUGGCAGCUGGGUGG
rnacentral:lncRNA from 1 species